CCGCGCCACGCCCUGGGCGGCGGCGGCCGCCGGCCCUGCCGAGGGGCCCUCCCCGCGGGGCCGCGGCCCCCGCGUCGGUUGACAGCCGGCGUCCUCGGGGGGUGAGAAGGGCCGAGGUCUCUCGUCGGCUCCCUUGGCGAAUCGCACGGGCGGGGACAGCUGGUGGCCGGGAGGCGGGCGCCCCAGUCUCCCACCUGCAGGGCCGCGGGACUGGGGGGAUGGACCUGCGCUGCCAGGCCGGCCCUGCGGAGACGUCUUAAGUCUGAACGGGGAAAGAUUAUGAGCUCCAUGAAGGUAGGAAUUGUUGCCUAUUUUCUUCUAAAUCUCAUACAGCUAGAAUAAUGACCAGCACUUAAUAGGAACUUGCAAUCAGGGUAGGAAGUGUGGGACUCUUUCUUCAUGCAGUCAUCAGUACAAAACUUAGACUCAUUCAUAGUGGAGAAAAGAUGUGCAGAAGGUGGUGAGAUUGAUUUUCUUUUUGCAUGCAGAGAAGCGAGCUAUAAAUGAACCUUCCAAGGUGAACAGAGGGAGAAUGCCUUUCCACGCCACCUUCUGCAUUCUCUGGCUUCCACUUGGGUAUGCUGCCUGGCUACGAGGAGAAGGUCCUGAAAGCACAUUCUAACCUGGCGGGGAGUUUGCACGUGGGACCUGGGAGCUCACCUGGAAAUUCGGCCCAUCCUCCACAUCCGGGAGCUGCUGCCUAUUAUCAUGGAAAGAUGAACAAACUUAUUGCAGAAAAUAGAGGCGCCUGUCCUUUGCAAAACCCCAGCCUUUUGCAACCCCCCCCCCCAACCCUUUACAAACCCUCAGCCCACAUUGCUUGUAAACUGUAACCAUUAUACCCAUUUUGCAUAUUCAUUCUUAUUCCUUUUGCCUACUUCCCCAUGUAAUAUUUGUCUUUCUACCCAAUAUAAGCAACUGGCUUUUAGAGGGAGGCGGGGGGAGAGCAGAUUUUUGUGGAUGACCUGCUGCUCUCCCAUACUGCUGACAUCCUACUGAAUAAUAGACAAAUAUGCAAAUUGACCGUACCUUCG